GCCUCCUUAGCUCAGUAGGUAGGGCAUCAGUCUCAUAAUCUGAAGGUCCCGAGUUCAAAUCUCAGAGGGGGCU